GCGCCCGUAGCUCAAUUUGGUUAGAGCGGGCCGCUCAUAACGGCUUGGUUGCGGGUUCAAGUCCUGCCGGGCGCA
rfam:Acetobacter syzygii 9H-2 DNA, contig: Absy_019.